GAUGAACGCUAGCGGGAGGCCUAACACAUGCAAGCCGAGCGGUAGAGUUUCUUCGGAAACUUGAGAGCGGCGCACGGGUGCGUAACACGUGUGCAACCUACCUUUAUCUGGGGGAUAGCCUUUUGAAAGGAAGAUUAAUACCCCAUAAUAUAAUGAUUGGCAUCAAUUAUUAUUGAAAACUCCGGUGGAUAGAGAUGGGCACGCGCAAGAUUAGAUAGUUGGUGAGGUAACGGCUCACCAAGUCAAUGAUCUUUAGGGGUCCUGAGAGGGAGAUCCCCCACACUGGUACUGAGACACGGACCAGACUCCUACGGGAGGCAGCAGUGAGGAAUAUUGGACAAUGGGUGAGAGCCUGAUCCAGCCAUCCCGCGUGAAGGAUGACGGUCCUAUGGAUUGUAAACUUCUUUUGUACAGGGAUAAACCUACCCUCGUGAGGGUAGCUGAAGGUACUGUACGAAUAAGCACCGGCUAACUCCGU
rnacentral:rRNA from 1 species